AUUGAACGCUGGCGGCAUGCUUUACACAUGCAAGUCGAACGGUAACAGGCCUUCGGGUGCUGACGAGUGGCGAACGGGUGAGUAAUGCAUCGGAACGUGCCCAAUCGUGGGGGAUAACGUAGCGAAAGUUACGCUAAUACCGCAUAAGCCCUGAGGGGGAAAGCAGGGGAUCGCAAGACCUUGCGCGAAUGGAACGGCCGAUGUCAGAUUAGCUAGUUGGUGGGGUAAAAGGCCUACCAAGGCGACGAUCUGUAGCGGGUCUGAGAGGAUGAUCCGCCACACUGGGACUGAGACACGGCCCAGACUCCUACGGGAGGCAGCAGUGGGGAAUUUUGGACAAUGGGCGCAAGCCUGAUCCAGCCAUGCCGCGUGCGGGACGAAGGCCUU
rnacentral:rRNA from 1 species